AUUGAACGCUGGCGGCAUGCUUUACACAUGCAAGUCGAACGGCAGCAUGGGCUUCGGCCUGAUGGCGAGUGGCGAACGGGUGAGUAAUAUAUCGGAACGUACCCAAGAGUGGGGGAUAACGUAGCGAAAGUUACGCUAAUACCGCAUACGCUCUAUGGAUGAAAGCAGGGGACCGCAAGGCCUUGUGCUCCUGGAGCGGCCGAUAUCUGAUUAGCUAGUCGGUAGGGUAAAGGCCUACCAAGGCAUCGAUCAGUAGCUGGUCUGAGAGGACGACCAGCCACACUGGAACUGAGACACAGUCCAGACUCCUACGGGAGGCAGAAGUGGGGAAUUUUUGACAAUGGGGGCAACCCUGAUCCAGCAAUGCCGCGUGAGUGAAGAAGGCCUUCGGGUUGUAAAGCUCUUUUGUCAGGGAAGAAACGGGAGUGGCUAAUAUCCACUUCUAAUGACGGUACCUGAAGAAUAAGCACCGGCUAACUACGUGCCAGCAGCCGCAGUAAUAC
rnacentral:rRNA from 1 species